GCGCGUUUAGCUCAGCGGGAGAGCGCUUCCCUGACACGGAAGAGGUCACUGGUUCAAUCCCAGUAUCGCGCAC
rnacentral:tRNA from 10 species